rnacentral:pre_miRNA from 10 species
UCCGUUGACGUAGCUGGUUGUAGCCGAGCCAAAUUGUGUUUCGUGUAUCAAUUGGUCCCCUUCAACCAGCUACGAAAACCGUGAA